rnacentral:rRNA from 1 species
GACGAACGCUGGCGGCGUGCUUAACACAUGCAAGUCGAACGGUAAGGCCCCUUCGGGGGUACACGAGUGGCGAACGGGUGAGUAACACGUGAGCAACCUGCCCUUGACUCUGGGAUAACAGUUGGAAACAGCUGCUAAUACCGGAUACGACCUUCGAUGACAUCAUCUGGAGGUGGAAAGAGCUAUAGCGGUCAAGGAUGGGCUCGCGGCCUAUCAGCUUGUUGGUGAGGUAACGGCUCACCAAGGCUUCGACGGGUAGCCGGCCUGGGAGGGCGAGCGGCCACACUGGGACUGAGAUACGGCCCAGACUCCUACGGGAUGCAGCAGGGGGGAAUAUUGCACAAUGGGCGCAAGCCUGUUGCAGCAACGCCGCGUGCGGGAUGACGGCCUUCGGGUUGUAAACCGCUUUCAGUUCCGACGAAGCGCAAGUGACGGUAGGAACAGAAGAAGGACCGGCCAACUACGUGCCAGCCGCCGCCGUAA